rnacentral:rRNA from 1 species
UACGUAGGGUGCAAGCGUUAUCCGGAAUUAUUGGGCGUAGAGAGCUCGUAGGCGGUUUGUCGCGUCUGCUGUGAAAACUGGAGGCUCAACCUCCAGCCUGCAGUGGGUACGGGCAGACUAGAGUGCGGUAGGGGAGAUUGGAAUUCCUGGUGUAGCGGUGGAAUGCGCAGAUAUCAGGAGGAACACCAAUGGCGAAGGCAGAUCUCUGGGCCGUAACUGACGCUGAGGAGCGAAAGCAUGGGGAGCGAACAGG